AGCCCAACACUUACUGAAUUAAUAGUAAAAUUCAACCAUCAACUGAUGACUAUGAAAUAUAAAUCUCUAUACACCACAUACAAUCCCAAAACCAGUAGUACAAGUUAUAAGCUCUAUUAAGUUUUCUAGAAAAUUCCAAAAUGCAACUGUUCGGGAUAGAAAUAAACUGUACAAGAGGAAAUUUCAGAAGGUGACUCUGAGGCCUGCGAACGCAACGAUAGGUUUACCUUGAGUCUCCACAGCAAACCCAAACAACUAGCUAGUGAACAACCAACUUCGAAGUACCUGGAUCUAUACAAAAAUAUGCAGAAGUGUAGAAUGAAUACACCACAGUGAUACCCAAUAAGUAUCAAGACUAACCUCGGUAGAGUAGUGACGAGAGAUAGUACUCCUACUAGACUAAACAACCUGAACAAGUAUGAAGGCGAACUAACAGAGAAACAAUAUUAAUAUAAAGCUAAUUAAGCAUGGUAAGGAGUACAAAACAAUGCUUGCAAUGAUAUACUAGUAACAACAAUUUUUAAUAUGAAGCAAACAGGUAAUAAUGUUGUAGAGUAAGCUAAAUACAAUCUAAGUCCGAUGAAAUCAAAUAAAAGAAAAAUCAAUAACAACUGAAUAAGAAUAAUCACUUUCACACCAGAUUUAUUCAAGAAUUUCCAUGAGGUACCAAAUCUCAUAAUCACAGAUCCCCGGUCCCAAUUCAUGAAUCCUAAUCACUUAGCAUCUUGUGCCCAUAUUACAAUUCAUGAACAAACAGGCGAUUCAUGUACCAAGAGAGUGACAAUAUCUAAUAUCCGCACGGACCACUCAUGUGCCAACAAUAACAAUGACUCAUGACCAUACAGACACUCAAGUGCCAGUAGAACAACUCUCACACAGAAGGUAAGUAGACGAGAGUACAUGUAAAUGGUCUAUAACAUCAGGAUUCAUCUUAUUAAACCUAUAUGGGUGAUUAAAUCAUGUGUAUGCUUGUGCAAGUGUCCUAACAUAACUCAAGUCAACAAGUAAGAGUAGUAACAAUAAAUGGCACAUAAGAAACGAUCACCACAAAAUGUACUAUAUAAUAAAGACAGUAAACAACAAGAUCAACUACACAGAACUAAACAAAUAUUGCAACACGAAGAAGGACAAUUAAUAGUAUGCAAAGGAAACAAUGAUCAAAGACAUGUACAAAAGAAUGAGAAAAUGUCAAUAAGAGUCACUACUGAGGUACCACCUCGUUGUCUCAAAUAACGAAAUGUAUCACAAUCUUUUCUUAUAUCACUGCGGGAGCCUUUACAUUUAGUUUUGAAAAUUAUUUUUCCCAAAAUAGCAUUCCACGUUUUAUCCCACCUUAUCAAAUCGUAUGGCUUCUAGCAGUUCCCCUACUAGUCAAGCGUAUCAAGCCCACCUUAUCUCACCCCAUGCGUUUCAACACCCAGACUUUAUACCACCGCAUGCGUAUCAAUAUCACAACGUAUCACAAUCGGACGUCAAGUGCCCACAAUCACAAUUUGCUAGAGAAACCAAGCAAUAAUAGAAUUUCACAAUAAGGAGCCCACAACUCAACCUCAAUGUACAACAACAACAACUACAACAAUAAUACGAGAAUAUAGCAAGUAAAUAAUCACAAGACCUUCAUAAAUUAAAGAAACGAAAGAACGAGCUCACAAAGAAAGGCACAAUAGGGGAUAAUGGUCUCCACAAGAAUAGCUCAACUAUGGAGAGAUAAUGUGUAUCAAUUAUUCCACAAUAGUACAAUUUGACGACAAUAGAGAUAACAUGAAUAAUUAACUCCAAAUAAGAAUACGUCAAUAAUGAAAUGAAUAACAAACUUCAUUCUCUCAUUACAGAAAGGAUAGCAUGAUAAUAAAAGAGGCAACAACUUCAAUUAAGGCACAUAAGAGUCUAAUCGGUAAUAAGGGUAGAACAUGAAGCAAUUAAUUUUAAAUAAGACACGUAAGGGUGAAUUUAGUAGGGUAAUUUAACAUGACAAAACAACUUUAUAUCUAAUGAACAUAAGAACCUAAGAGCCCUAAAUGGUCAAAUUUCCACAAAUAAGCUCGAGCGCGUACUCGUCACCUCGCGUACGUAGCCUUCACAUGAAACAAUUAGCAUAAAUAACUGAAAUCCUAAUGGGUAGUUCCCUCACACAAAGUUAGGCAAGAUACUUACCUCAAAUAAGCUAGACCGAUACUCUAAAAUGACCUUUUUGAGUGAAACAACCUUCGGAUGACCAAAAUCUAGCAAAAAUAACUUCAAAUCAUAAAUAAAACUCAUAGAAAACAAUUCCUGAUAAUAAAGAUUUGAUCUUUAAUUAAAACUAAAAAGUCAACCCCCAAGACCGCACCUCGAAAUCUCAUAAAAUUCAAAAAAAAAUGAACACUCAUUCCGAUACGAGUCCAACCAUACAAAAAUUAUCAAAUUCUGAUAUCGAAUCGCCCUACAAAUACUCAUUUUACAUUUUGAAUAAUUUUUACAAAGUUUCCCAUUUUCUUCUCUUCAAUUCAAUAAUUUAAUGAUAUAAAUAAGUUUGAAAUCAUGAAAUGUAAACAAUUUCGAAUAUAGAAUUCUUAUAAGCAAUUUCAAAUGUAACCCUUCAAAAAUCGCCCAAAUCUAAGGCAUUUAUCUUAAAAUGUGAUAAAAUAGCCAAACCCUCGAAAUAGAGUUCUUAUAACUCUGCCCAGUCAUUCCUCAUAUGCGACUACGGAAUACACCCCGCGAUCGUGGAAAGAAAAAAUCAGUACUCAUGGAAAUAAGCUAUGCGUUCUCCAAAAGCACCUCGCGAACGCGAUGAACACAUUACAUAACCUUCGCGAACGCAUACCAUAUUUCGCGAAUGCAAUGAGUAACAUUCCACCAGUCCUCAGCUCCCUUAUGUGAAUGCGGAACACACUACGCGAACACGAACAACAACCAGCUAAACCUUCACGAAUGCAUGCCCAUUGUCGUGUUCGCGAUGAGAAAAAUACUAUGUUUCCCAGAAUCACUUCGCUAUCGCAUCUUCAUCUUCGCUAUCACGAAGAGCAAUAGUGACACCCGAAACCAACAACUCAAAUCAUGAAGAAAUGGCCCUAGCCCAUCCGGAACACACCUGAGACCCCCGAGAUCCCGUUGAAAUAUACGAACAAGUUCCAUAACAUAACAUGGACCCACCCUAGGUAUCAAAUCACAUAAAACUAUGUCGAAACUAUGAAUCGUACUACGAAUCGAACUUAUAAAUUUUCCAAUCUUCUAACUUCCAAAACUAGCACUGAAACAUAUCAAAUCAACUCAAAAUAACGUCAAAUUUUGCAUUCAAAUUCCAAAUGGCAUAAAAGCAACUAAUCAAACUCUUGAAAUUGCAUUCCGAUCCCGAUAUCACCAAAGUCAACUCUUGAUCAAACCUCUUAACCUUUUAAAACUUCAACUUUCCAAUUUAGCAGAAAUGCUUCAAAUUAUCCUACGAACCUUUGAAUCUAAAUUCGAACGCAUGCCUAAGUCCAAAAUCAGCAUACGAAGCUAUUAAAAUCAUCAAAACACCAUUUUAGAGUCGUCUACAUAAAAUCAAACUGCAGUUAACUCUUAUUGCUUAAGAUUCUAAAACAAGAAUCCUUCUUCCAAAUUGACCUUGAAUCCUCCAAAACUAAACUCGGGCACACAUGCAAGUGAUAACACAUAAUUCAAAGCUGCUCGAUACCUUACGUUGUCGAACAAGACGAUAAUUUUUAAAACAACCGGCCAAGUCAUUACAAUUGUUGAUUUGAGGAUUGUUGGUGCAGUGCUUAGCAAUUGUGAGGUCGGGCUCAGAUUUGCAAGCAUCGUUUUUGCGAACAAUAGUUUGCAUUUGUGAGUAGUGGCCUCGGCUAGGUGGCAUUGUAUUUGUGAGGAAAUGGUUCACAAUCACAAAUUGGCUGGGACCGCUUUUGCGAUCAUCUUGGUUGCAUUUGCGACCUCUGGAACUUUGGACAACAUCGCAUUUGUGAAGCUUUGGGCGCAUUUGCAAUGGGAGCAGACAUCACAAUUGCGAAGUCAAUGUCGAAUUUGUACCUUCCGUUUUGAAUAACAGGCACUGCAAUUGCGAGUCAUUCUUUGCAAUUGUGAGGGCUCGCAAUUACAAACCCGUAAAUGCAAUUACAACACAUGCGCCUGAACAUAAGGUCUGAAAAUCGAGAUUUGAGUCUCAUGCUCUCAUUUUGGAACCCCAAACUCGGUAGGAGGCGAUUUUGAGAGGGGAUUUUUACCUACAAUUAUUGGGUAAUUGAUUUUGAUCUAUUUUCAAUUAUAUUACACGAUUAUACAUUAGAUUUAACAUCAAAUUCAUGAUAAUAUAAUAGAAAUUUUGGAGAUUUUUAUCUAUGUUUUUAAAAAAUAAAAAUUUGGAAUUUUAGAGUUGAAUUGGACUUGGAUUUUGAAAUAAAAUACAUAAAUAAACUCGUGGGGUUAUAGGUAGUCAAGAUCUACACUUGAACUCGGGUUUUGACCGGGCGGGACCGGACUUGACUUAAAAAACGGUCGUGGUUGAGUGUUAAUUUGGUUGCGGAAAGAGGUAAGUAUUGUGUAUAACCUUGACUUGAGGAAAUUAGGACCCGUUGAUCCAUUUUCUAUGUGAAUUAUGUGGAGAAACGUCGCAUAUCCGAGGUGUCGAGUUUAUAUGCACCGUUGUGGAAUUUAGCAUGAGAGAGUGGGCAAUUUAUUUCCAUAUCUUUGUCAUUCAAUGUUAUUUCUUGUUAUAUGCUUUAAUUAUUGCACUUGACAUCUAUGUUUUACUUGUUCACUUGUUACUUCAUUGUUAUUUACUUGAUUUGUUCAUUUCUCAUUCAAUAAUCUGCUUACUUGCUAUUUGUUCCUACUUGCCUUAUUUGUAUAUUCUCAUUAUCACAUGUUUUACCUACUUUUAUUGUCCUUCUAUUAAUAGAUGUACUCUAUUAUGUUAUUUUGCUUUCGUGAGUCAUUUAGCCAUUCUUGUAUAAUGAGUUGUUAAGGCUUAGAAUAUCGAUGUGUUGGAUAUCUUCCAUUCGUAUUGGUGGGUCAUAAAUGUAUUGUGUGCUCCAUCUUUUUUGGUUUUGAUAUUUCUUAAAUAUUGGUAUUGAGUUGUUUAUGUUAAUAAUUUAAUAUUGUUGGGAUCGGAUUGCGCGCUGCAACGAUAUUGAUAUGAAUUGAUAUUGUGGGAUUAGGCUGCACACCACAGCAGCGUUGAAAUGAUAUGAUAUUGUAAUGACCCGACCGAUUGUUUUGAGAGUUCUAGCCAUGUUUCCCCAUUUAUUGUUCCUUUUUGUAACUUGUCGGGUUUGUCAGUUCGGGUCCGAAGAGGUUUCGAAAUGAAUUGAGACACAUAGUCUCAAAGUUGAAAGCUUAAGUAGAGAAAGUUGACAGGAUAUUGACUUACGUGCAAAUGACUCCAAAAUGGAGUUUUGAUGGUUCUGUUAGCCCUUUGGGUGAUUUCGAACUUAGGAACAUAUCCGGAUUGUGAUUUGAAGGUCCGUAGUGAAAUUAGGCUUCAAAUGGUGAAAGUUGGAAAUUUGAAAAGCUUGACUGGGAGUAGACUUCUUGAUAUCAAGGGCAUAUUGGAAUUUUGGGAUUUGGAGUAAGUCCAAGGUGUCAUUUGUGACUUGUGUACAAAUUUUAGGGUCAAUCGGAUGUGAUUCAAUAGGUUUCGGCGUCGUUAAUAGAAAUUGGAAGUUUAAAGUUCAUUAGGCUUGAAUCAAUGUGUGAUUCAUGUUUUUGAUGUUGUUUGAGGUGAUUUUAGGGCUCGAAUAAAUUCGUAUGAUAUUUUGGGAGACGAUGGUAUGUUUGGUUGAGGUCCUUGGGGCAUCGGGUGAGUUUCAGAUAGUUAACGGAUCAAUAUUGGACUUGGCAUUUCAGUUGAAGACUACUGGUAUUUUGUUACUGGUUUCCUUUUAUGCGAUCGCAUGGGCAGGUCCGCGACCAUGUGUCACGCCUCUUUUUUACCACCCCGAAAGUAGUAUAAGGGAGUUUUUCCAAUUAAAGUGACGUGGAAACGAGAUUAUUUUAUUUAAAAUUCAGAGUUGCCACUUGGGAUAAUUUAUGGUAUCCCAAAUCACCGGUUUAAAAUCCCAAAUCGAGGAAGUUUGACUCUGUUUACGGUUCGCGAACACAGAAAUCCAGGUAAGGAAUUCUGUUAACCCGGGAGAAGGUGUUAGGCAUUCCCGGGUUCUGUAAUUUUAGCACGGUUGCUUUGAUCAUACUUGGCUGGUUAAAUUGUCUAAUUACUUAUUUUAGAAUGGAUUAAAAUGUAUGGCUCAAGUUUUAUACCACAGGGUCCUUGCAUAUGUCUAUGUCCCAUUUAAACUCCAAAUAAUCAGGUUCUUACCAUCGCAUGGCCCAAAUAUCUUAGCUAAUAGUCUGUUUUAUAAUCUAGCCCAUUAUCAAUUAAACCCAGGUCCAAACUAACUCUUCAAAUCAGUCCAUCCUAAAAGACCGAAUCUUUGAGAUAAUCACAGCUCCAUUCUUAAACAUCUUUAUUUUUUACAACUAAUACUUCAUGAAACUUUAGAGAUUUUCUCCAAAUUAUAUUAAACUAAUAAUGAAUAAUGAAAAAUUCAAGCCUUAACUAAUCAUGGAACUAACUUUCCUAUAAAACUAAACCAUUAAAUAUAACUAAAUUAUUUUAAGAAAACUAACCAGGAGCAGAAAAACUAUUGUUGCUUAUGGAUUAAAAGGGAGCAAACAUGUUCUUGCUAAACUUUGAACAAACAAAAGAUAACAAACUAAUGGACAAAAAUAAAGAAAACCUGCUCGAACAGAAAAGAAGCAGCAGCGCUGGAACCAUGCCGGCAACUCGAACGAAACCGACCUCACUCAAACUCCAUCUUGGAAAAGCGAAAAUCCGAAACAAGGAAGAUGAAACAGAACUUUUUAUGUGCUCUAUUUUGUAGUUGUCUUGCGAAUUAGUUUUAGAUGUUAGAAUAGUGACAAACUGAUUUUUGACGGAGCUUAGGACGAAAAGAAGAUGGGAGAUUUUGCUCUCUCUGUUUUCAACAUCUCUUUCUCAUGUGCCUUCUAUUUCGUCUUCUCACUCUAUGUGUGUGCGUGUGUGUGUAUGGCUGCUGGUUCGAUAUGGUAGAGGCAUAGAUGGGGUUGUUUGGUGUGAGGUGAGAGGUUUUCCUAAAGGUCCAUGGCUGUUGUAGCUGUGAUAGAUGAAGAAAAAGAAGCAGUGGCGAUGGGUGGUUGUUGCGGUGGUGUUGCGUAUAGAACUGGUGAACGUUGGUUGUUGCUGAAGGUUUAGGGAUGAAGAAACCGAGGUUCAAGCCAUUGGAAUGUGAAGGAGAGGAGGAGGGUCGUAUGGGGUGGGGUUCGAAAUUGUUCUCUGCUGCUUCUUUAGAUGCUUAUUUUGUAUAUGUUCGUCCAAAUCUAGAAGAAGAACGGCGGAUAGCUAUACGGGUAUAGGUCUUAGAGUCUAGGUAUUUUUUAGGCUAAUUUUGGUUAUAUAGAGAGGGUUUUUAGGUUAAGGGGUAUGAGUUUGGUAUUAUUAGG
rnacentral:lncRNA from 1 species